rnacentral:rRNA from 1 species
UUGGAGGGCAAGUCUGGUGCCAGCAGCCGCGGUAAUUCCAGCUCCAAUAGCGUAUAUUAAAGUUGUUGCCGUUAAAAAGCUCGUAGUUGAACUUCCACGGACUCAUGCGGUCUGCCUCACGGCAAGUACUGUGUGGGUUCGUGUUCCUUGGUGGUGAGCCUUGAUGCCCUUCACUGGGUGUCUUGGUGAACCACCUCUGUUACCUUGAGAAAAUUAGAGUGUUCAAAGCAGGCAUAUGCCCGAAUACAUUAGCAUGGAA